CAAGUUACACAAUUCAUUUCAAAAGAAGCCUUUUUUCAUUACAAACAUUCAAACCACAUUACAUAAUGAGUCAAAAACAAAUUACACACAAAAUUACAUUUUUGUCCUACAGUUGACUUUUGAUAAACCGUUGACUUUUUGGUCAAACUGUUGACCAAAGUCAACUAACUAUUCUAAACCCUAAUUCUACUUUUUCCUUCAUUCAUAAGCUAUCCUGUGUUUUUUCAAAGCUUUCACAAUUCUUGAUGUUGUUUUUGGAUCAUGUCCUCUUUAUGUUCCAAUCUUGGUUCAUGCCUUCAUGACCAAAAGGCCAUGCCAAAACAUUG
rnacentral:lncRNA from 1 species